rnacentral:rRNA from 1 species
AUGAUGAACGGUUCAGCUGGUUCCCCGGGGAAUCACGUGAAUGGAAAGCAAGUGCAAAGUGUUGACCCUCCCGGUCUUUCAAGUUUUAACAAUGGACCAAGACACCGUCCGUUGAAUGCAUGGAGGCGCUGCCGUGGUGUAUUGUGCUUGGUGAUUAUGCCGGUGACAGCAUGCAUGAUGAUGGUUUACCUAGCCCCUGUGACAACCUUCGUCGUACGGUUGUUCAGUGUGCAUUACAGCAGAAAGUGGACGUGCUUUCUGUUUGGGAUGUGGUUAGCCAUGUUUCCCUUUUUGUUUGAGAAGAUCAACAGGACAAGGUUUGUUUUCUCUGGUGAAAAGGUGCCCCCAAAAGAGUGUGUCUUGCUGUUUGCUAACCACAGAACUGAGGUAGAUUGGAUGUACCUGUGGGAUCUUGCAUUGAGGAAAGGCCGUUUGCAGUCUAUCAAGUACAUCCUCAAGAAAAGUUUGAUGAAGUUGCCUAUUUUCAACUGGGCAUUUCACAUUAUUGAGUUUAUUCCAGUAGAGCGGAAUUGGGAGGUUGACGAACCACUAAUCCGAAGAAGGCUUUCUCAACUGAAGUACCCCAAGGAUCCCCUUUGGCUUGCAGUUUUUCCAGAAGGCACUGAUUAUACCGAGAAGAAAUGCAUCAAAAGUCAAGAGUAUGCGGCAGAGCAUGGUUUGCCUAUUCUGAAAAAUGUCCUCCUUCCCAAGAUAAAGGGUUUCAAUUGCUGCCUGCAAGAGCUGAGGAGUAACUUGGAUGCUGUUUACGACAUCACGAUCGCAUACAAGCAUCGGCUCCCGACGUUCAUGGACAACGUGUACGGCAUCGACCCCUCUGAGGUCCACGUCCACACCAAGAUCAUCCAGGUCUGUGACAUACCAACAGCAGAGGACGAAGUAUCCAGCUGGCUCACGGAGAGGUUCAGACUGAAGGACGAGCUCCUGUCUGAUUUUUUGGCACAAGGCCACUUCCCCAAUGAAGGAACCGAAGAAGACCUGUCCACGCUCAAGUGCGUCGCGAAUUUCCUUGCGGUGAUCGGCAUGACGGCCUUCUUCAUCUACCUGACCCUGUUCUCGUCCGUGUGGUUCAGGGUCUUCGCGGCGUGCAGCGCCUCUUUCCUCACGUUUGCCACGGUGUACUCUAUACACGCGCCUCAGAUCGUGUGUUUGCCGGAGGCCGGCGCCCACGCCAAGAAAGCUUGA